rnacentral:rRNA from 1 species
CCCCUCCCCGGGGGGGUGGCCAGCGCCCGCCAGAGGACCAUCAAACUCCAGUCAGUAAACGAUGCAGUCUGAAAAACAUUUAAUAAACUAAAACUUUCAACAACGGAUCUCUUGGUUCUGGCAUCGAUGAAGAACGCAGCGAAAUGCGAUAAGUAAUGUGAAUUGCAGAAUUCAGUGAAUCAUCGAAUCUUUGAACGCACAUUGCGCCCUUUGGUAUUCCGAAGGGCAUGCCUGUUCGAGCGUCAUUACAACCCUCAAGCUCUGCUUGGUAUUGGGCACCGUCCUUUGCGGGCGCGCCUCAAAGACCUCGGCGGUGGCGUCUUGCCUCAAGCGUAGUAGAACAUACAUCUCGCUUCGGAGCGCAGGGCGUCGCCCGCCGGACGAACCUUCUGAACUUUCUCAAGGUGACC